AUAAUGUAGGUAAGGGAAGUCGGCAAAUUAGAUCCGUAACUUCGGGAUAAGGAUUGGCUCUGACUAAGCUGCAGAUAAACAUUAGACGCCGUGGUUGAAAUCCCUCCCUGAGGAACCGCCACGUAAAAUAAAGCUGAGAGAUCAGAUUCAUUCUGUCCCUAUCUACUC
rnacentral:ncRNA from 1 species